rnacentral:snRNA from 1 species
GUCUGAAUUUGUAGGAAUUUCGA